GAGAGGGAGAGGGAGAGGGAGAGGGAGAGGGAAUAUAUAGAUAAGUAAAAAAAUCAAUGGGGGAUAUAUAUGCCAGCGAAAGAGGUGUUGAUCAUAGAGGAUGAUAAUGAUGACUCGUUUUUCUCUCUCUCUCUCUCUCGUGUCCAAUACUUGAGUUGUUACUAAAAAAAGACAUUGUUUCUGUAAAUUCUGUAGUUCCGUACAGAGAUAUAUAGAGCACCAUAUAUAUAUACCCUUCAGUUAUUUUCUAAUCAAUAAACUGAGAUCAAUUUCUUCACCAUAUAUAUGCAACUACGUACAAGAAG
rnacentral:lncRNA from 1 species